AUUGAACGCUAGCGGGAUGCUUUACACAUGCAAGUCGAACGGCAGCACGAGAGAGCUUGCUCUCUUGGUGGCGAGUGGCGGACGGGUGAGUAAUAUAUCGGAACGUGCCCAGUAGCGGGGGAUAACUACUCGAAAGAGUGGCUAAUACCGCAUACGCCCUACGGGGGAAAGGGGGGGAUCGCAAGACCUCUCACUAUUGGAGCGGCCGAUAUCGGAUUAGCUAGUUGGUGGGGUAAAGGCUCACCAAGGCAACGAUCCGUAGCUGGUUUGAGAGGACGACCAGCCACACUGGGACUGAGACACGGCCCAGACUCCUACGGGAGGCAGCAGUGGGGAAUUUUGGACAAUGGGGGAAACCCUGAUCCAGCCAUCCCGCGUGUAUGAUGAAGGCCUUCGGGUUGUAAAGUACUUUUGGCAGAGAAGAAAAGGCAUCCCCUAAUACGGGAUGCUGCUGACGGUAUCUGCAGAAUAAGCACCGGCUAACUACGU
rnacentral:rRNA from 1 species